AACGAACGCUGGCGGCAUGCCUAACACAUGCAAGUCGAACGAGACCUUUGGGUCUAGUGGCGCACGGGUGCGUAACGCGUGGGAACCUGCCCUUAGGUUCGGAAUAACUCCCCGAAAGGGGUGCUAAUACCGGAUAAUGUCUUCGGACCAAAGAUUUAUCGCCUUUGGAUGGGCCCGCGUUGGAUUAGCUAGUUGGUAGGGUAAAAGCCUACCAAGGCGACGAUCCAUAGCUGGUCUGAGAGGAUGAUCAGCCACACUGGGACUGAGACACGGCCCAGACUCCUACGGGAGGCAGCAGUGGGGAAUAUUGGACAAUGGGCGAAAGCCUGAUCCAGCAAUGCCGCGUGAGGGAUGAAGGCCUUAGGGUUGUAAAGCUCUUUUACCCGGGAUGAUAAUGACAGUACCGGGAGAAUAAGCUCCGGCUAACUCCG
rnacentral:rRNA from 1 species